UACCUGGUUGAUCCUGCCAGUAGUCAUAUGCUUGUCUCAAAGAUUAAGCCAUGCAAGUCUAAGUACGAGCUCUCGUACAGUGAAACUGCGAAUGGCUCAUUAAAUCAGUUAUGGUUCAUUUGAUCGUACAGUUUACUUGGAUAACUGUGGUAAUUCUAGAGCUAAUACAUGCGAGAAGCGCCGA
rnacentral:ncRNA from 1 species